GCCUGGGUGGCUCAGUGGUUAAGUAUCUGACUUCAGCUCAGGUCAUGAUCUAGCGGUUCGUGGGUUCGAGCCCCACGUCGGGCU
rnacentral:tRNA from 1 species